UACAGAUUUCGAUGAAUACAGGUCACAAUUCGAACGCGUAUAGUUCACAAGAAAAUAUUUGGCAGACACCGUGGCUCUCGGGAGUCACGCUCUUUAGGAGGGUGAGCUCGUAGUAAAAUAAUUUAUGUAUUCCAACGGUUCUAUAAAAUGAUCGUUCGUGCUUUAAACAUUUUUAUAGAGAAGAAAUCAAACCCGCAAAAUUAUAAUUUGCGUAAUUACUGGUAGUAGAACAUCUUGUGAGUUCGCACGGGUGGGUACCACCGCCCUGUCUAUUUCUGCCGUGAAGCAGUAAUGCGCUUCAACUUGAAGGGUGGGGCAGCCGUUGUAACUAUACUGAGACCUUAGAACUUAUAUCUCAAGGUGGGUGGCGCAUUUACGCUGUAGAUGUCUAUGUACUCCAAUAACCACUUAACACCAGGUGGGCUGUGAGCUCGUCCACCUAUCUAAGCAAUAAAUAAAAAAGAUAUUUUUCAGCAAUAACUACUGUUCAUCUCUUUUAGUUAAUCGUGUUUUAAAAGACGUAAUUAAAAUGUCACUGUGAUCUUCCUGUAUUAUAGGCAGUUCAAGAUCUAAAUUACUUCUAAAAAACUGUCUGACGCUAAACCGUUAGAAAAUUUAACCUGUUUUUGCGGUGAAAAAGUUAAAUGCCACUUAGUUUAAGACAACGUGAUACAUAACAUGUCUACUAUGGCCGCAAAUACAAAACUUUUAUCACUUAAGAUAAUGUUGUUCACUAUCUAUGUUUGUAUUACAGCGUCACGUAUGUGUGAGUGAGUUUAAAGAAAUGACGGUUUAAUUAUUACAUUAGUGGAUUAGGCGACAGAAAAAAAGUUCAUUAUGUUUGCUUUACAAAAUACGAAUAUAAACGAACAAGACAAAAUUAAAUCAUUUAGAAUCGUCAGUUAAAAAUCAUAAGUAAUCAAUAAAUAAAACUUCCUCGGAGUAUGAAUCCAAUGGCAUACUUUGUAGCAAAAAAGAAAUUAAAGACUUAAAUUGCCAAUUUAAAUAAACGGUUUUCACACUCCACUGGCAAUUUCACUUAAAAUUCAUUUCCUAGUUAUGUUUGCAAAGACGAACUAUGAUACUUGAGUUUGAAUUUCAGGUCUCAUAUCCCAAUGCUAAAUAGUGAAAAUUUUUAUUAUAUUUGUUUUUAUUUCAUAAAUAGCGCAUAGAGCAUAGAGCUCACGGCUUACCUGGUGGUUACCAGACCCUUAAAUAUCGCACCAUGCAUGGCGCCAUCCAUCUUAAGAUUUGUGGUUAAAGUCUCAAUUCGUCUUCUCGCAUUAAAACUGUAUAAUCUAAAAACUUACUCAUUUUACAGGAGAGUGUUUUAAAAAUGUUAGUUAAAUAAAUGUUAAAAGCUUAAACAUUUAUUUUUUAUUUUGGAACGAAGUUCCUUAUUUUACUUAUUACGUUAUCUGUCUUUUAAAGUAAGAUAAAAUUAUGUAUUAAUUUUGUAAUAGUAGUCAAAACAUAGGUACCUAAACUAAAAAGAAAAAAAAACUAAAACUAAACUACGCUCUUUUGACAGUAUUUAUGAGAAAAAUACUGGUGAUACCAAAUGAUUCCGUAUAACUCAAUUUCGAAUAUUUUUGGAAAUUGUACACUUUUAAUGUGAAAAGACGAAUUGUGUUGCAUGCAUUACGGCCGUCGCACUCUUCAAGCCGUAACGAACAAUUGAUACGUAAAACGAUUUCCCCGGAUUUUAAUUUUAGUUAUAUUUUAUUCAGAGAUUUGAGAUGUCCAAGACGUAUGUCAUAAAAAUCAUGUAAAUAACAUAGAAGCCAGCACACGUAUAUAAUAAAUCACAAUGUUUAAAAUGAAGAGCGGUGAGGGUGAACGAGGUACUGGCGUCACAGCGCUCAGCGUCAGACGACGAGUGACGUGGUCACAGAUAGAGUUUUUCUUGCCAAGUGACUCAGACUUUAUAUAAAACGGAGCAGAAAUCUAAAGCAUUGUACACUUCACAUCAAACCGCCGAGUCGAAUUGACCGAUUGUUUAAAUAAUAAUCUUAAUGUUUGUAAACGGUGAAGAACAAAUCACACAACGAUUAAAACACAUACAUUUGGAUACAAACAGCAGUAUGCAGCCAAAAGCCGAGGUUCCUCCCAUGUGUCCAAAAAGCAAGCUUCCGUUGUUGCACCUCACUCCUUCAGGUGGUCAGAAGAAAAUCGAGGGCGCAACACCUCAAAGCAAGUCUAAUCCUUGGCUACUGAAGCCUCCGCUGGACAUCCCUCCCACGCCGCCUCCACAAUCGAAAGUUCAACACCACGAGUUCUUUCCGUAAGGAAUAGGGUAUUUUUCUACUCGAGACGUUAGAAUAAAAGUAUUGUUAUAAAUGGCAGCAUGCCAUUUUGUCAGAACACGGGCUUUUUGGAGUCGUACAAAAAUAUGCCACGAUGUAUACAUAACUAUGUACGUAUAUCGUUGAAGACGAAUCGAGAGAAAACUUCGGCGUCACUCGAUUUGCGUCAGUUUUCGGUAAAUUGUGGUAUGGUGAUAAGUUUUAUUAAAGAUUGCUGUAACUAUCGUAAUGUGAACUUAUCGAUGACGAUAGUAAUCGAUAAGAGAAUAUGUGAUUAGAUAUACAGUGUGUUAUUGUCUGUAAUUGGAGCAGCUGUAUUGUUUAUUGUUAAUGUAGUACAUAAUAUCUAUUUUUUAAGUGAUAGUAAGAACUUUUUCAUCUUGUCUAAAUAGAUCUCUGUUGUAUUUAAUGUUUGUGACUGAAACAGUUCUUCCGAUGUAAAUAUCGUGUUUUACUUCGCAAUUAAAUAUAUUAUACAAAAAAAUAUAUAUAUUUAAUUUCAAUUUAGUUCCAUCCAAAAUAUAUCGUUAUUUUCGCCUCCAAAAAUAAGAAUAACAACAUUUGAAUAAGUCAUAAUUUCGGUUUCCGUGACAACGACAUUCAAAUAACAUUAGCACGCAAACAAAUAUGCGACGUACAUCGUCGUACAAUUAGAAGAAAGCAUGUAAUGUAACUCAAUUUAUUACAAAAAUAAAUAUGGGUCAAUGACUUUAACACGAAUAUAAUUUAAAGGUUAAUUAUGACGAUAAAAACAUUAAAUCCUAAUUUAUUAUAUUAGAUUAGUUUGAUAAAAAAUUAAAAUAAUUUAACAUGUGGACAUAAUCAAGAAAAUACAGGAAAAUAAAGGAACAGUCUUAGAUUAAUUAACACAUUUUAGUAAUGCUGACUACAAUUACUUCACAAUGCCAAUCUCGUCAAGCGAUAGACAAAGGCCUUCCGUUCCACGCUACGAUUCUAUUCAUUUAUUCGGAUGUGACGUACUUUUUCCAUUACGUUCCCUACGUGAAAGAACGAAUCGAUUUUUUUUUGAUAGAAAAAAUACAUAUUUCAUUGUCCAUCUUAUGGUAGUGUAGGGGAAUGAUACUCUGCCCCGCUUAGCUUACUAUGCAGUUAUUGUGCAUAUAGUAAUGAGCAGCAUACGUUAGUCAGUCAGCGGUCAACGUGCAGCGAUCCACCGCGGUCGCUGAGGCAAGUAAACAUGUAAUUAUAAGUAAUGUUUUAUUGACCGCUCCCUCGAGGUUUAAGGAGGAGAGCGCACCCGCCUCCCUCCUCUGUCUUCUCCCAAUAAACCUCACAGUAGCUUUUGCCUAAUUAUAAGUAAAACUACAUAGUAUUAACACAUUAAAUGUCUUAACAAAGGCAUGAUCCCACGGGUCUUUCUCUUCCAAAUAAUAUUGCGACCUUAAUUGCCAUACUUUUAUUUUUUUAACGAAUACAUACACGUCAUGUUAUGUUGCCUAGUUUUCAUUGAGAGCAAAUCUACUUUUAACUAAAUUUUGUAUUUUUUUCUCGAUGAUGACUAAAGUAUGUUUGUAGGCUAGGUCUAAAAUAUAUUUUUAAAGAAUCAAAAUAAAUGAGAUAAUAAUAAA